rnacentral:rRNA from 1 species
AGUGAACGCUGGCGGUAGGCCUAACACAUGCAAGUCGAACGGCAGCACAGUAAGAGCUUGCUCUUACGGGUGGCGAGUGGCGGACGGGUGAGGAAUACAUCGGAAUCUACUUUUUCGUGGGGGAUAACGUAGGGAAACUUACGCUAAUACCGCAUACGACCUACGGGUGAAAGCAGGGGAUCUUCGGACCUCGCGCGAUUGAAUGAGCCGAUGUCGGAUUAGCUAGUUGGCGGGGUAAAGGCCCACCAAGGCGACGAUCCGUAGCUGGUCUGAGAGGAUGAUCAGCCACACUGGAACUGAGACACGGUCCAGGCUCCUACGGGAGGCAGCAGUGGGGAAUAUUGGACAAUGGGCGCAAGCCUGAUCCAGCCAUACCGCGUGGGUGAAGAAGGCCUUCGGGUUGUAAAGCCCUUUUGUUGGGAAAGAAAAGCAGCAGGUUAAUACCCCGCUGUUCUGACGGUACCCAAAGAAUAAGCACCGGCUAACUUCGUG